UACAGAGGGGGCAAGCGUUGUUCGGAAUUACUGGGCGUAAAGGGCGCGUAGGCGGCCUGCUAAGUCGAACGUGAAAUCCCCGGGCUCAACCCGGGAACUGCGUCCGAUACUGGCAGGCUUGAAUCCGGGAGAGGGAUGCGGAAUUCCAGGUGUAGCGGUGAAAUGCGUAGAUAUCAGGAGGAACACCAAUGGCGAAGGCAGCUCGCUGGGACGGUACUGACGCUGAGGCGCGAAAGCGUGGGAGCAAACAGG
rnacentral:rRNA from 1 species